rnacentral:rRNA from 1 species
UACGAAGGGGGCUAGCGUUGCUCGGAAUCACUGGGCGUAAAGGGCGCGUAGGCGGAUCUUUAAGUCGGGGGUGAAAACUCAGGGCUUAACCCUGAGCCUGCUUCCGAUACGGGCAGACUAGAGGUAUGCAGGGGAGAACGGAAUUCCUGGUGUAGCGGUGAAAUGCGCAGAUAUCAGGAGGAACACCGGUGGCGAAGGCGGUUCUCUGGGACGGUACUGACGCUGAGACGCGAAAGCGUGGGGAGCGAACAGG